rnacentral:rRNA from 1 species
UUGGGAAUAUUGCACAAUGGGGGAAACCCUGAUCUAGCCAUGCCGCGUGUGUGACGAAGGCCCUAGGGUCGUAAAGCACUUUCGCCAGGGAAGAUAAUGACGGUACCUGGUAAAGAAACCCCGGCUAACUCCGUGCCAGCAGCCGCGGUAAUACGGAGGGGGUUAGCGUUGUUCGGAAUUACUGGGCGUAAAGCGCGCGUAGGCGGACUAUUAAGUCAGGGGUGAAGUCCCGGGGCUCAACCCCGGAACUGCCUUUGAUACUGGUAGUCUUGAGUUCGAGAGAGGUGAGUGGAAUUCCGAGUGUAGAGGUGAAAUUCGUAGAUAUUCGGAGGAACACCAGUGGCGAAGGCGGCUCACUGGCUCGAUACUGACGCUGAGGUGCGAAAGUGUGGGGAGCAAACAGGAUUAGAUACCCCUGUAGUCC